GCCCGUUUUUCGCUAUGACGGUCCUGAACCGUCAGCGGUCCUGAAGGGGUUAACACUUGUUUGCUGUGUAUUCAUUUGAUACUGUUUAUAGUAAGUGUGUGUAUGAACCACUAAUAAGUUACCCAAUUCAAAGCCAAGUGCAAGUCCUGAUUUUUCUUGCACAGAGCCUGCUCUCAUUAUGUAUUUAUUCAUGCAUUUGAUGGCAUUUGCUACAAAUUAACUUUGAAUUUUAAAAUGUGAGUGAACAUUAAUAUGUAUUCCGUGUUUAGUUUGUGAU